CGCUGGUGGACGACAUCGGCGUGUUGGAGAUGGGGCGAUGUGAGGGAGUCUUCCUCCAGCUGGAUAAGUCCUAGGACAUAGAUUGUUUUGUGUUAAAUUUUCAAUGGAAGUUUACAGAAAUUGGAUCAAUGGGCCAAGCAGACAACAGCAACAGAUUAGAUGAAUCUCAACAGUAUGGAAAUAACAAGGUAAUUUAACAUCAAUGAGCAAUCCGGGGUGCCUAGGGGCGACUGGAGUAGCAGCAGUACUCUCAAAGGAUACGAUUAAAUAUUCUGGUUUCAGCCGGAUACAGCGAAAAAGCACAACUGCUUCCAAGUUCUUCCUACACUCUACCUCUGAAUAUAUAUGUAAGAUCAUGGUUUUCAGCUCUCCACCCGACAUCUGAAUUUACUUUUGUAAAGAAGUACCAGUCUGCAAGAGAUUUUUCCGUCUCCAUGCUGCCGUUGAAAGUACCAGGGCUGCCCACCACUGAAGCACAGAGUUUCAGGAACUGUCUGCCUUGAUCUUUUCUCCAUGUUGUUUUCAGGCAAUUGAUUUGCAAAUGAACCAUUGGCCUAAUAGCCAUUUAAUUAGAAAUGAAUGCACAUAAUAGACAGCUGAAACAAAUGACCAAUCACCCAAAAUCGCAAUUAUGUUCAUGGUGAUCAUAUCGCAAAUUGAAAAAAGCACCAAUAAUAUUUAAUAGUAAAAAGAAAUAGGAGUGCAAUCUUUCCUUUUGUUUCUGCAAUUUAAUGCUGCUUUAAAAAUAUCUAUAGGUUUAACUCCUUUACAGAACUUAGUUGCUCGCAUACCAUUGAAUUGGAUUCAUAAGAAGCAGAAUAGACAUUCAAAUGGAUUUAAUCCCAUCUUUGUUUUCUCUUUCUCAUUUGGUUCCUUAUCUCAUUGCUCUCCAAAUGUUCAACUAACUGGUUGUUGUAUUAAUAAAGGUUG